rnacentral:lncRNA from 1 species
AGUCACACUGACUCGCACCUGCACACACGCCAGCACUGCUCGCUCUUUGACGUGUCUCAUAUGCUGCAGGUGAGCCAGGGGAGCACACUGGCCAUCUGAUCAGGCCUUCCUCCCUGUUUACAGUGGUCCACUCCUUGGCUUUGUUUGCUGUGAACUGGAUUCCAAGGACAGCCUUCUCAGAAGAGCUAGAGGUCAUGGGGGUGUCAUGGAUAGGUCAAUGGCCCCAAGGAAAUGAGCUCAGAGGGUCUCAUCAUCUCAUCCUUCUAGCUUGCCCCCAUUAAAUGGUGUGCCUUAAUGUCCCGGGUUUUCCAGGGCUGACACCCACUCUCAUGUAUUGGGCUGGAUGUUGGUUUGAAAAGGGGUUAUUUCAGGAAGGUGCUAGGUCCUGUCCAGUUCCCUGGCAGUCCCCCCACACAGAGUGACUGGGGGAGGUCAGGAAAUCAGAAGGUGGUCCUUUGCCACGUGUAGAACCAAAAGACUGGUUAGUCACUUUGGGUGGGCUGGACUGCACUGUGGAUGGCAGGGAGGAUGCAUCCUUGCUUAGUAGCCUUUUGGAUUGUAGCUGUUGCAAUGGCCUGAGGCUUUCAAUCUCUUCCCCAGACCAAGAUACUUGGUAGUGACCGGGUGAAGCUGAUGGAGAGUCUAGUGGUUGGAGACAUUGCAGAGCUAAGACCAAACCAGGGGACACUGUCGCUGUUUACCAACGAGGCUGGAGGCAUCUUAGAUGACUUGAUUGUAACCAAUACUUCUGAGGGCCACCUGUAUGUGGUGUCCAACGCUGGCUGCUGGGAGAAAGAUUUGGCCCUCAUGCAGGUAUACCCCCUCUGUGUUCUAGACACCUUGUCUUCCUUGUUCAUAGAGCAGUAUCCUUGUUGUCCAAGACAGGGUUGGCACAGACAAGGGACCUGGAAAAUGGCUCUUUCAGUGAAUGAACAGCUAUGAGACUCAAGAGCAGGCCCUCUCUGGAGCACGCCAGGGUUUGGUGGUGGGGGAUUACCAGGCAUGGGGAGGGGGUCUUGGCCCCUCUGGUGUGAGGUGGCAGAACUGGGCUUGGGUCAUCUCUAUCACUUAGUAGCUAUGUGACCUUGUAAGAUGGGAACCAGCCUACUACCUUUUUUUUUCCUCCCUCCUCCUCCUCCUCUCCACUGUCCUACUACUGUCCAGCUCUGCAGCGUCCAGCCCAUGGUAGCUGCUCAGUAAGUGGCCCCAGAUGCUCUUGUGUUUCUGUCUUUUAGGACAAGGUCAGGGAGCUUCAGAACCAGGGCAGAGAUGUGGGCCUGGAGGUGUUGGAUAAUGCCCUGCUAGCUCUGCAAGGCCCCACUGCAGCCCAGGUACUACAGGCCGGCGUGGCAGAUGACCUGAGGAAACUGCCCUUCAUGACCAGUGCUGUGAUGGAGGUGUUUGGCGUGUCUGGCUGCCGCGUGACCCGCUGUGGCUACACAGGAGAGGAUGGUGUGGAGGUACUGUGACUAGUGGCUGCCCCUCCCCCUCUCUGAAGAAGAAUGUGGCGAUGGGUUAUGUGCCCUGCGAGUACAGUCGUCCAGGGACAAUGCUGCUGGUAGAGGUGCGGCGGAAGCAGCAGAUGGCUGUAGUCAGCAAGAUGCCCUUUGUGCCCACAAACUACUAUACCCUCAAGUGAAGCUGGCUCAGGGUGGGGCUGUCCCUUCCAGGAGUUUUGCCCCUACAAGGGGUUAGUCAAGAAGCUGAGGCAGAACUCACUGGGGGUGGGCAGUUAAGGUGGAGGCUGAUUCUAAUUGUCUGGUUGAGGGGCCACACCACCUAUUCCCCCCACCUAACUCAUGCCAUUCCAGCUUCCUUCAGGACCCUGCUUCUGAGUGACGGACCAGCUCACACAAUGUCUUGUUUCAGUCCAUGAUCCCACUGACCUACUCUUGCCUGCUGGAGGGUAAUGAGAAGCUUUGGUUCUGCCAUCUCUCCCACUCUGCCAGGUGCUGGCUGUGGAGCAAAGGCUCACCUUUGUGGAGAGGAUAAAACCUGCCCAACCUACCUCACCAUGGUUUUUCACAUUGCAAAGGGUAAUAACAUGGGCAGUGCGGACUUAGGCUACCCCCUCCAGUUUGCUUUCCGUAAAUGCAAAUUGUCCUUACUGCAAGUCAGGAAUGAUUGCUGACUCACAGUAGGGCUGCUAUGCCUGUGUGUAAACUUGGGGAUGGCUGAGGGAACAUAGACUCACUCUUCCACAUUCCCAAGUUGGUCUAGUGUGCUGCCCAGUAGCAAACCAUGGCAGACUCACCACCUAUUCUGAGUUCCAGGGCUGCUGUAGGGCAGGGUGGGCUUCCUCCCAGACUUGCCUUACCCUGGGCUGAUCUUUGCCCCUGGUAUGC